AGCGGCCGGGGCGGAGAGGAAACCUGCGCCCAGAGCCACGUGCUGGAGCCGGCGCGGGGUGGGUGGCUCGCGGAGGCGUGGGGGAGGGAGAGGCCGCUGCUGGGAAAGGCCCCAGGCCACGUUUCUGGGGGAGGAGAUGCGCCGCGAGUGGACACGCUCGGCCCAAGGCCAGCCGGGGACCUUCGUGUCUGGAGAGGGCGGCCCAAGAUCCCUCUGAUGGGAGCAGCUCUGGCCUAGCCUCGGACGGACGGCCCUGCCUGCUCAGGGAUGGCCUUGCAUAAAUGCCCUGGCCUAAAGGAAAUGGCAACCCACUCCAGUGUUCUUGCCUGGAGAAUCCCAGGGACGGGGGAGCCUGGUGGGCUGCCGUCUCUGGGGUCGCACAGAGUCGGACAAGACUGAAGCGACUUAGCAGCAGCAGCAGCAGCAACCUGGUUGCCUCCUCUGACCGCGGUGGGAUGGGGUUGAGGUUGAAGGGUCUUCUAUCUCACCCCGCCCCUGCCCACCACCACCUCAAAGAGGAUAUCUGUCCAGGGGUCGAAGAAUUUGAGAGACUGAGUAAACUGGGGGUGGGUGGCCAUCCAGUAAAGGUGAGGAGAGUGGUAGGAAGAAAAAAAGGAAGCACAAAAAGAAGGAAGGAGAAUCUUAAGAACCUGCCAAGGACGUAACUGCAAUCCUUGGAAAGCCACGGCUCAGCAAGUGAUGCCAGCCCCAGGAGGGGAUGUCCGGGUCUCAUCUUGCAGCCAGAAGGAGCACAACAGCUGGGUGCCCAGAACCCAUCCGGGUCUGUGCAGAGCUGUUUGUCAGUGCGGCCUCCCAGGACCACGUGAGCUGCCUCUCACCCUGUAUGACCCUCUUUCAGACCCAGGCAGAGCAGAGCUCCCGGCCCCCUUCCCCUCGUGCCCAGCCUUCUCCCAAGUGUGCAGGCAGGUGGCUCAUUCCUGCCGGGUCAAAACCACAUUGAGCUGGACUCCUGGGAAGUUCUCUCUGGACCUCUGUAGAAGAGUGCCUGGUGUUGUGUGCUGCCCACUGCAGAGACCAAACACUGGUGACCACAGAAGACAUCUGGCAAGUCUAGAAAAUGGUGAACAGCUAACGUUUAGUAAGCAUUUACUAUGUGCCAGGAAUUUUUCUGACCUCCUUACAUGCUCCUUACUUGCCUCAUUUCAUCCUUGAAGCAGCCUUAGGAAGCAGAGCUGAUGAUUACCUCCCUUUCACAGGUAAGAAAAUGGAGAUACUGAGAGGUCAAGCAAGCACUUGGUGAGAGAGUCAGGGUUAGAACCCAGCUAUUUCAAUCUCAGACUGGGAGCUUAGCCACUUUGCUCCCUAAGAGAUGGAAGAAGAUGAUGCAAGAUGGGGGAAAACCUCCCGGCUAGGCUGUGGGGCAGGUGGGUGAGUGCUAUUAAGUCAUUUGCCCAGGUGGCAACCUGGAGGCUCACCAGAGCCACCCCUGGGUGGCAGAUACAUUGUCUCACGCUCUCUGUGAGCCAAGGUGGGUGUGAUGUCGGUGUGAGACACUCCUGACAAAGUCCUCGGGAAUCCUGGGAGG
rnacentral:lncRNA from 1 species